rnacentral:rRNA from 1 species
UUUCGGGCUGAGUAGAGCGGCGGACGGGUGAGUAACGCGUAGGAAUCUACCUGGUAGUGGGGGACAACUUGGGGAAACUCAAGCUAAUACCGCAUACGCCCUAAGGGGGAAAGCGGGGGACCUUCGGGCCUCGCGCUAUCGGAUGAGCCUGCGUAGGAUUAGCUAGUUGGUGGGGUAAAGGCCCACCAAGGCGACGAUCCUUAGCUGGUCUGAGAGGAUGAUCAGCCACACUGGAACUGAGACACGGUCCAGACUCCUACGGGAGGCAGCAGUGGGGAAUAUUGCGCAAUGGGCGAAAGCCUGACGCAGCCAUGCCGCGUGUGUGAAGAAGGCCUUAGGGUUGUAAAGCACUUUCAAUUGGGAAGAAAAGUUUGUCG